CCCCAUGUCAUGAUAUACCCAUGUCACGAUACACCCAUGUCCCCAUCCCCAUAUCAUGAUAUAACCAUGUCAUGACAUCCCCAUGUCAUGAUAUUCCCAUGUCCCUGUCCCCAUGUCACGAUAUACCCAUGUCACGAUAUACCCAUGUCAUGACAUACCCAUGUCAUGAUAUACCCAUGUCACACUGUCUCCAUGUCACGACAUACCCAUGUCACACUGUCCCCAUGUCACGAUAUACCCCUGUCACGACAUACCCAUGUCAUGACAUCCUUAUGUCAUGUUGUCCUCAUGUCACGAUAUACCCAUGUCCAACUGUCCCCAUGUCAUGACAUCCCCAUGUCACAUUGUCCUCAUGUCACGGUAUCCCCGUGUCAUGAUAUACCCAUGUUCCCGUCUCCAUGUCACGACAUACCCAUGUCCCUGAACCCAUGUCAUGAUAUACCCAUGUCAUGACAUCCCCAUGUCACGAUAUACCCAUGUCCAACUGUCCCCAUGUCAUGACAUCCCCAUGUCACAUUAUCCUCAUGUCACGGUAUCCCCGUGUCAUGAUAUACCCAUGUCCCCGUCCCCAUGUCACGAUAUACCCAUAUCAUGACAUCGCCAUGUCACCACAUCCCCAUGUCGCAGACCAAUGGCGUGACAUCCCCAUAUCGAGAUAUCCCCAUGUCAUGCUGUCCCCAUGUUGCGAUAUCCCCAUAUUGAGAUAUCCCCAUGUCACGACAUCCCCAUGUCAUGUUGUCCCCAUAUCAUGACAUUCCCAUGUCACGACAUCCCCAUAUCGUGACAUCCACGUGUCACAACAGCUCAUCCCCACGUCAAGAUCCCCAUGUCAUGUCGUCCCCAUGUCACGACAUCCCCAUGUCACAGUCCAAUGUCACGACAUCCCCAUGUCUCGUUGUCCCCAUGUCACGACAUCCCCAUGUCACGAUAUCUCCAUGUCAUGACAUCCCCAUAUCGCGACAUCCAUGUGUCACAACUCAUCCCCAUGUCAACAUCCCCAUGUCAUGUUGUCCCCAUGUCAUGAUAUCCCCAUGUCACGACAUCCCCAUAUCAGGCCAUCCCCAUGUCCCCAGGUCCCCAUGUCACGACAUCCCCAUGUCACAGACCAAUGUCACGAUAUCCCCAUGUCAUGUCAUCCCCAUGUCACGACAUCCCCGUGUCGCAGUCCAAUGUCACGACAUCCCCAUUUCUAAUGGUCCCCAUAUCAUGACAUCCCCAUUUCAUGUUGUCCCCAUGUCACGAUAUCCCCAUGUCACGACAUCCCCAUAUCAAGAUAUCUCCAUGUCAAGAACCCCAUGUCAAACAGUCCCUAUGACACUUCAUCCCCAUGUCACGACAUCCCCAUAUCGUGACAUCCCCAUGUCCCACUCAUCCCCAUGUCAAGAUCCCCAUGUCAUGUCAUGUCAUCCCCAUGUCAAACUGUCCCCAUAUCAUGACAUUCCCCAUGUCACGACAUCCCCAUAUCGUGACAUCCACGUGUCACAACAGCUCAUCCCCACGUCAAAAUCCCCAUGUCACGACAUCCCCAUGUCACGAUAUCUCCAUGUCAUGACAUCCCCAUGUCAANUCAAAAACCCCAUGUCAUACAGUCCCCAUGUCACGACAUCCCCAUGUCACGACAUAACCACGUCACAAUAUCCCCAUGUCACGAUAUCCCCAUGUCACACUGUCCCCAUAUCACGACAUCCCCAUAUCGCAACAUCCCCAUAUCACAUUGUCCCCAUCUCACGACAUCCCCUUGUCUCAACAUCCCCAUGUCAUGAUAUAACCAUGUCACGAUAUAACCAUGUCACCACAACCCCAUAUCAUGACAUCUUCAUGUCGUGACAUCCCCAUGUCCCACUGUCCCCAUAUCAUGACAUCCCCAUGUCAAGUCGUCCCCAUGUCACGUUGUCCCCAUAGCACAACAUCCCCAUGUCAGUGUCCCCAUAUCACGAUAUCCCACGUCACGACAUCCCAAUUUCAGGAUCCCCCAUGUCACGAUAUCCCCAUUUCUAUCUGUCCCCAUAUCACGACAUCCCCAUGUCACACCGUCCCCAUGUCACGAUAUCCCCAUAUCAUGACAUCCCCAUGUUAAGUUGUCCCCAUAUCACGUUGUCCCCAUAUCACGUUGUCCCCAUAUCACGCUGUCCCCAUAUCACUACAUCCCCAUGUCAGUGUCCCCAUAUCACGAUANUAUCACGCUGUCCCCAUAUCACUACAUCCCCAUGUCAGUGUCCCCAUAUCAUGAUAUCCCACGUCACGACAUCCCCAUUUCAGUAUCCCCAUGUCAUGACAUCCCCAUGUCACACUGUCCCCAUGUCACGAUAUCCCCAUUUCUAUCUGUCCCCAUAUCACAACAUCCCCAUGUCACGACAUCCCCUUAUCUCAACAUCCCCGUGUCAUGACAUAACCAUGUCACGAUAUACUCAUGUCACGACAUCCCCAUUUCUAUCUGUCCCCAUGUCACGACAUCCCCAUGUCACAACCCCAUUUCAUGACAUCUUCAUGUCGUGACAUCUCCAUGUCCCACUCCCCCCAUUUCCCACUGUCCCCAUAUCACGACAUCCCCAUGUCACACCGUCCCCAUGUCACGACAUCCCCAUAUCAUGUCAUCCCCAUGUCAUGACAUCCCUAUAUCAUGACAUCCCCAUGUCACGACAUCCCCAUACCAAGACAUCCCCAUGUCAAGUCGUCCCCAUAUCAUGUUGUCCCCAUAUCACACUGUCCCCAUAUCACUACAUCCCCAUGUCAGUGUCUCCAUAUCACAAUAUCCCACAUCACGACAUCCCCAUUUCAGUAUCCCCAUGUCACGAUAUCCAAAUUUCUAUCUGUCCCCAUAUCAUGA
rnacentral:lncRNA from 1 species